GAGGGUGUAGCUCAAGUGGUAGAGCGCAUGCUCAGCAUGCAUGAGGUCCUGGGUUCGAUUCCCAGUACCACCU
rfam:Camelus ferus unplaced genomic scaffold scaffold29410, whole genome shotgun sequence.